CCUACGGGAGGCAGCAGUGGGGAAUUUUGCGCAAUGCUCGUAAGAGUGACGCAGCGACGCCGCGUGAAUGACGAAGGCCUUCGGGUCGUAAAGUUCUUUCGACAGGGAAGAAAAUGCCUAUAAGUAACUGUGUAUGUAUUGACGGUACCUGUAUAAGCAGCCCCGGCUAACUCCGUGCCAGCAGCCGCGGUAAUACGGAGGGGGCGAGCGUUGUUCGGAGUGAUUGGGCGGAAAGAGCACGUAGGCGGUGUUGUAAGUCAUUAGUCAAAGACUAGAGCUCAACUUUAGUAAGGCUAGUGAUACUAUAAUACUAGAGUAUCAGAGAGGAUUGCAGAAUUCCUGGUGUAGCGGUGAAAUGCGUAGAUAUCAGGAGGAAUACCGUUAGCGAAGGCGGCAAUCUGGCUGGAAACUGACGCUGAGGUGCGAAAGCGUGGGUAGCAAACAGGAUUAGAUACCCCAGUAGUC
rnacentral:rRNA from 1 species